rnacentral:sRNA from 1 species
AUUUGUAUGAAUGGGAUAAAAUCCAAAGAAGUCAGUUCGGAUCCGUUUGUGAAAGAGUAGAAAAAGAAAGAUAGUGAAUCUUGUUUGAACCAUUAAUGAAAAAUAGAGGUUGGUACAAUAGUUAGCAAGUAAAAUGGGCUUUUUAUUGGGGAUAGAGGGACUUGACUUGAACCCUCACAAUUUAUAAAGUCGACGGAUUUUCCUCUUACUAUAAAUUU